GACGAUAUCUUCCAAGUGUCUGCUCGGGACACGGCUUCAGCCCUCUGUGGUCCCCUCUUCCCGGGGGCUUUGGGAUUCUUGUCAAGCUCCUUCAAGAGCCUGCAAGCACUUAACCAGCCACCCAGAGUUCCCCCACUGAAGAUCUGAGCAUGACCCGGGACAAGGCACUGCCGGACUCUCAUUCUGCAAAGAACUUCUAUGAGAAUUAUGAGCCCAAAGAGAUCCUGGGCAGGGGCGUUAGCAGUGUGGUCAGGCGAUGCAUCCACAAGCCCACGAGCCAGGAGUACGCCGUGAAGGUCAUCGACGUCACUGGUGGAGGCAGCUUCAGCCCGGAGGAGGUGCGGGAGCUGCGAGAAGCCACACUGAAGGAGGUGGACAUCCUGCGCAAGGUCUCAGGGCACCCCAACAUCAUACAGCUGAAGGACACUUAUGAGACCAACACUUUCUUCUUCUUGGUGUUUGACCUAUGGGAAGACACUGAUAUAAUGGAGAUGGAACAGAAAUGGUGCUUGGGCCAGGACUCCCCCAAGUCCACCAACUUCAGGGCCCA
rnacentral:sRNA from 1 species